AGCAGCCGCGGUAAUUCCAGCUCCAAUAGCGUAUAUUAAAGUUGUUGCAGUUAAAAAGCUCGUAGUUGAAUUUCGGGAUCAGUACGCUGGUCGUGCCUUUGGUAUGUACUGGUGUCACUGAUUCCUCCCUUCUGAAGAACCGUUAUGCCAUUUAUUUGGUGUGGCGGGGAAUCAGGACUGUUAACUUUGAAAAAAUUGAGUGUUUAAAGCAGGCUCGCGCUUGAAUACAUUAGCAUGGAAUAAUGAAAUAGGACGUUUGAUUCUUAUUUUGUUGGUUUCUAGGAUCGACGUAAUGAUUAAUAGGGAUAGUUGGGGGCAUUAGUAUUCAAUUGUCAGAGGUGAAAUUCUUGGAUUUAUUGAAGACUAACUACUGCGAAAGCAUUUGCCAAGGAUGUUUUC
rnacentral:rRNA from 1 species